GCUUGUAGUCAAACAGAAGGCAGAGCUGCGAAUCAAAUCCAGGUUUGUCUCGACAUGCCACUAGCUCAUACUUCCCUUGGAUCAGCCACUAAAUGGCUUUCACUCCAGUGAGCAGCGACCAGCACCAGAAUUAUGGAACAUUUAUCAACAGCCUAAAAUAAAGACAACACGAGGAGAAUUUGGUUGCUUAUAUAGAUUCAAGGUACAAUCCUGCUGGAUUCUGGGAUUACAGGACUGUAGACAAAAGAGAAAUCAUCAUGGACUGUUCACUGGACAAAAUUUCAUGGAGAGGAGAAGACCUUUGGCGGUUCAUGGAUGUUCUAUAAUAAGUUAGCAGGGAAAAUCAAUACCCAGAGAAGGGGAGAGACGUCCAUGGCACACAGGAGAGGACAGAGCCAAGAAUGAAUAUAGGACACCAGUGCCCCAACUCUUAACCACUACCAUACACGGUUUUAUAAAGUAAAUUUUAAAAGUCGACUUUAAAACA
rnacentral:lncRNA from 10 species